CUUAAGUGAUUUUUUUGAGCCAUGAACAUUAAAAUAUGAUUAAAAAGCCAUUUUUAAGUCUAGCUUGUAUUUACACAUUUUAAUUGGGAACGAAAGAAAAGCAAGCUGUUUGCAAAACUAAUGUGUUUACAUGAAGCUUCAGUAUUAUCUGAAAUCACCGAUUACAUGAUGAAGCCGCGUAGAUAAUCAGUUUUGUCAGUUUGAGGAUUGAAAAAGCCAAAUAAACCAACGAAGAAUAAAAAAACUCACGACUUGGAGAAACAGUAUUGUGACUGAGAUGAAAGCAGUAAUUCUGUUUUAGUCCUGCUUUGCAUAAAGAAUGGGAAAAGAUAAAUUUAAUUUUAGUUGAGAUAGAUUAUGAUUGUACUGAAACUUUCCUGUUUUUUUCAGUGACACGCUCAUAAAAGAUGAUAGUUUAAGUACUGUGGGGACGAGAAUGUCAUGGCCACUGAUUAUCACUUUGAAUAACGUGAUCUUCGCAGGACAAGAGAGCCAACAGGAAAUACGACCAAGUUAUCUUGGUCUAAGAAGCAGUUUAAUGGUCGUCUCUGUAUCUCCAAUCAGCAUCUCUUCAGGGCUCAUCAGUGCAACAUUGUGAACAAUUAAAGCACAUCUCAUCACUGCAAUGCGCUUAGGUGCACUUGCUAAGAUAUUCCGCUCCAUUGCGUACCCCGGAGGCGAGACCAGCUUUAGGGCACAUGUGCCCAAGUUUCUGUGUCUCAUCCUGGUGACGGCUACACACAUCCUGAUGCUGCCUUGCUGCUCAGAAGACGUCUUGGAUCCAAGCGGGAUCUCAGGACAACUGCAGAUCUAAUGACCCGAGUACUCUAAGGAGACCUGUUCCAUGGGCAACUCUGCCUACAGCGCAUACUAAGUUUAGAAACCUAACACUAUCAAACUAUAUGAUGAACACAUUUAAUUAAAGGUGAAGGUACAGCACGGUCCCAGCGAAUGCCAUAGGACUGACAGAUUGGCAGAGCUAACUGAAUACAUUCAGAUUCCUGGGUGCUUCGCUAUGUUCUAUACAACUGCAAAGUCAUGUGGAAAAAUAGAAUUCUGCUUAAAUUCUGCUCCUCUUCAUUGCAAACCCAAGGAUAAGUUCACAAAUUCCAGGUAAUACAGAGAGAAGCAUUUUUAUAAAUAAACACUGUAAUUAUUAUUUAAUGGAGAAAGAG
rnacentral:lncRNA from 1 species